rnacentral:lncRNA from 1 species
UUCCCCAUCCCAUUCGAUUUCUGUAGGAGAAUGAGAGUCUUACCUUCUUGAACGCUACAGUUGGAACCUUUUCCCAUACAUAUAUUGCUCAGCCUUAGCUGACCUCAUAAUCUGUAUUUUAGAAUUGGAAGGACAUCAUAAAGAUUAUAAAGCGUAGCCUUUUCGUGUUGUAGAUCGAAAUACAUAAAUAUGGAGCUGGGCGUGGUGGCGCACCCCAACUGACAAUUCUAGCACGCUGGGAGGCCGAGUCAGGAGGAUGGGGCGUUAGAGCCCAGCCUUGGCAAUUCAACGACAUGGCAAGACCUUGUCCCAAAAUAAAUAAUAAAGGAAGGGUGAAGGGGGUGAAGGGAGAGCAGAAGAAUGGGGAAAAAAUGAGAACCAAGAUACGUCACGUGAAGGUACAAGAUCCCAGCGGUGAAUCAAACAGAAGUCAGGAAUCCUGGCAGCUACUGGGGAUUCAGCAGUGAACCAGCUAAGUGUAUUUCCUGCCCUCAAGCCAACCUCUGAGGCGUCCGAGGCGACCACCACUCCACCAUGAGCUCCAUCUGACAGGAGGAAAUCGGAGGCGAGGACACAGAGUAAUUCGCCAGCGGCCUUGCAGUGCGCAGCCGGAGGUCUCCGCAGUGAGGCUGCGUGACUGCGCCCAUCCUCCGGCCACGCUUUCGCGGCUGUAACCGUAUGAACUCGAGUCAGGGGCAGGUUCUCCAAAGAUCCUUUGGCAGUCACGCCCUCCACCCCAAAAAUCUGGCCUGCCGGCUGUGAACAGAGAUGCAGCUGCACAGCGGCCCGUCUGGGGAAGUAGAGGGGUGCUGGGGAUUGAUCCCAGAGCCCUUGCACUGAGCUACAUCCCAGCCCACUUCCAUCUUGAUACAGGGUCUCCCGGAGUCCCUGGCCCAGGCUGGCCUCAAAUCCUGCUUGCACAGCUAGAGAGUAACCUCUUAGUGUUUUUGUUUGUUUGUUUGUGGAGACAAGGUCUCGCUACUACUACAAGGCCUUGCUACACAGUCGUCUGGCCUAGAAUCCCGAGUGCUGGGAUUGUGAGUGUGAGCAAUUUUAAACGGCAUUUUAUAUAGGUUGAUCAUCAAAUGUAUGUGGGAAGGCUUCCCCUUCAUUUCUGGAAGUUGUUAAGGAUUAUUAUCACUGACAUCUUUUGAAAAAUUAUUGCUAAUCGUGACUGGGAUUCUCAGUGGGCCUGAGAGGUAGGAGGCUGACGAAUAUGUAACCUGCUAGUACCACCAUUCCUAAGAAGUCCUGGUAACUUUUGAGGUGAAAUUUAAAGACAUGGAAAUAAUGCUUACAUCUCCCCCAAAAGUCUCAGAUCUGCAACUCAGGAGCGAUCAUCUCAUCACUUCUCGGCCUUUUGGCUAAGAUCAAGUAUAGGAGUGAUCAUCUCAAUUUUGGGGGCUUAAUCACUAUAUUUAAAAUAUACUAGGGAUCUGGGUGUAGUGGCACACACCUGUAAUCCCAGCAUUAGGAGGCUGAGGCAGGAGGAUUGCCACAAGUCUCACUACAAAGUGAGACCUUAUCUCAAAACACAAACAAGAUAUAUGCGUAUGUAUGGACACAUGCAUCCACAUUAGGGAUUAAGACGAACAUAGGAAGAUAUUUCAUGGACAGGUACAAAUUCCCUAUGAUGAAUGUUAUCAUUAUGUAUAUCUAAAAUGUACCAAUAAUUUAAAAAAGAAGAUGGGCAUGGGGCGUAUGCUUGUAAUUCCAGCACUCUGGGAGGCUGAGGCAGGUGGCUAGCAAGUUUGAGCCCAGCCUGGGCAGGGCAAUUUAGUGAUUUAGUGCAACACUAUCUCAAAAUUUUCAAAAAGGGGAAGGAGACUGUGGAUGUUGCUCAGUGCAAAGGCCCUUGGUUCAGACCCCGAUACCAGAAUAAACAAAUACACAAAGGGAUGAGAACCUCAAACUUUCUGGAUUCAAUCACAUCUACUGGAAAAAGAAAUUCUCUACUUUGUCUUUAUUUUUCACUCUGCCACCGACUUAGUGAAAGAUGGCAACUGAAAAACACCACACAAGACUAGAUUAGUGUUUUCCCCAGAAGAAUUUUGAAAAUAAUCAUUUUAUAUAUUGUUAGGAAUCUGAGAUGUUUCACUGUAAGUUCUAGUUGUUAUGCUGAAUGUCAUUUCUGGCAUGCAGUAAAUAUUAACGCUACAAAAUUAAAUUGUCACUGGAUGUGAUGGUGUACUUCUAUAAUUCCAGCACU